UACAGAGGGGGCAAGCGUUGUUCGGAAUUACUGGGCGUAAAGGGCGCGUAGGCGGCCUUCUAAGUCGAACGUGAAAUCCCUGGGCUUAACCCAGGAACUGCAUUUGAAACUCCCUUUCUUGAGUGCUGGAGAGGAAGGCGGAAUUCCUGGUGUAGAGGUGAAAUUCGUAGAUAUCGGGAGGAACACCGGUGGCGAAGGCGGCGACCUGGGUAGAUACUGACGCUGAGGUGCGAAAGCGUGGGUAGCGAACAGG
rnacentral:rRNA from 1 species